CUUUCUCAGGAAGGAGGGAAGAGAAAAAGGGAUGUGAGCUCAUUUCAACUCCUGAUCAAGACCACACUGACUUUACUAAGUGCCUUAAAAUGCUCCAAAAGAAGAUAGAAGAAAAAGACUUAAAGGUUGAUGUGAUCGUGACACUGGGAGGCCUUGCUGGGCGUUUUGACCAGAUUAUGGCAUCUGUGAAUACCUUGUUCCAAGCGACUCACAUCACUCCUUUUCCAAUUAUAAUAAUCCAAGAGGAAUCGCUGAUCUACCUGCUCCAACCAGUAAGUCAAAAGUGAAUAUAAUGUGAGCCCUUUCCUUCACAAAGCUUCUACCACUUGAGUAGACUAGAAGAAAACAUUGGCCCUGCUUGGGUCUUCGAACUGUGAGUGGAAUUGAACAUGUGCGCUUUCUUGUGGCCACUUUAGUUUUGCCCCAGGUCACUGACCAGCAAAAAUGUGGAGGAGAAUCCUGAAAGUUUUCAUUUUAUUGUGUCUAAAAAACAAGAGAAAGUGUUGUAACUCUAAAUUGACUAAGAAUUAAAUUGAGCACUUUUGCGUUUUGAACAGC
rnacentral:sRNA from 1 species